CUUUUCUGACGGCACCUGAACGCGGACGUAUUCUUUGCCGUUGUGAGGAAGUGUUUCGGGAGAAAGAGAGUCAUUCUACACAACCUCGAGUACUGUACCUGGCUAACGUAGCUGUUAGCAUUCCGUACCGCCGGGAUUUUGCCGACCGUAUAAUAUCGUCGGAGUAUCGUUCAACAUUCUUCUGGCCGGGUCUUUUGUGGAGUUCUAAUUGAGGACAGCGCUGGGAUUAGCGUGCCUUCAGUGGAGUUGAUUCCAUUACGGUGCCCUGACGUCCAAAAGUGCUGGAAAGUGGGUACAGUGGUGGUGGCGAGCCAACCAAAAAACAUGCAGUAUAUUACAUUUGAUAAAUUUUAAUUAAUUUUAUUUGUGUUGGUGAUGUUUAGAAGAAUUUAUUUUGUACGACAGGAGUUGACAAGAACAUUUUGUUUAGUUAUUUCAUUCGGAUUGAAAGAAAAAAAAGGAGACUCACACUGGUGUUGAGAAAGGUGAUCACCAAUUAUUUUGCUUGAGGGAAAGGUCAACUAAGAGGUUGAGACUAAAUUGGAUUUAUUUACUUUCUUUUUUCACUGUGGUCGUGAUAAUAAUUUUGUUGUCCUGUGUUUAUGUUUGAUACAAAAGUUAAUUGUUUUUACAACCGUUGUCUUGUUUCUUUACCCAUGCCACCCCCUCAAUGGUGACAUCAUUGGCUCCAGUGAAUCGAAUCUAGUGUCCCCUUACUGGUCCAAGUAGAAACCCGUUGUCUGCCCAUAGUGUUUUAUCAUCUCCAGCAAUUAUAAAACAGACGUAGCCCUUGUUACACCGGGCUGGGGCCAGGGGCUUUGAUGGGGGGCACAUUCAACCCAGGGCUAAAAAGACAGAUUUGAAAUCUUAUUUGACUUUUUAUUUCUUCAAACUUUGAAAUUGUAGUCAUAACAUUACAGUGAUGAGAAAAAAACAGUAUUAGGAGGUCUAAAAUGUCUGCAAGCGUAACAAUACACCGUGUCCAUCUGUUGAGAAUAUUCAAGCCAGGGGAUGAUAUGGUACCAGCCUGCCGGAGACAAAAAUUGUAAAUACACUGAAGCUUUUACAUGCAUAUAAUUAUCCAAAUUUUAAAAGGCAAUGUCUUAUAUAUUGAUCCUGUUAAAUAAAAUAAAAAGGGAGACUAAAAAAGUUACAGUUUCUCUGCGGACUGUUUCUCAUUUUCCCGCUCAUUAUUAAGUGGCGCAGCGGACUAAAGGGUCCGACUAGAAUGUUAAAUCAUGCACUUUGGUUCCACCUUUCGUGUCAGCGACUCGGCGCGACUGCGCUCUCGGGGUCAGAAUCAGUGCUACAGGGGCACUGGCCCCCAUCCUUAGACCGGCAGCCUCUUCACUUCCAAUAGAGCCGCUCCCAUCGGUUGAAUUUUGCGAUAGAUCAGGAAACUGCUCACACCAAACGGCAGCAUACCUGUUAUCGGAAGGCCGAAAAGGUAGAUGUCAUCCACAUCCUCAACGGACAGUGUUGACAGGCACACCAUUCUCCGCUUCCUCCAAGGAUCUAGGGUGUGCCCAGCAGCAAAAGUCCCCGAGGGGCAAGUGGGCUCCCCACUGGCUGUUCUAAUCAUCAAGAAAAUGUUGUCGAUGGCAUCGAGAGACCAGCCAACCAAUUCCAUGUUUGUUUUUAGGAUGAAAAUAUGAUAGGAGGCUAGGAAAAGUCGGACAAAGACAGCACAUGGACUGAGUGGCGAGCAGGGAAGGGUGGGGGACAGGAGCAGAAAGCAAAAGCGUCCGCCUUCGUCGAGAGACAAGCAAGAGUGGUAAUCCUGUAAUUUGUAAUGUCUAACGAAUAAAUACAAGGACAUUUGGCCAGACUGACUUACUGUGAGCUGUCCUGAGCCUCAGUGUUGUGUGGUUAGCCACUGUGGAGUUGCUCAUACACGCAAGGUCGACAUUUCAUAAAAGUUAGUGAGUCAAAAAAUCUCUUACUAGGUGUACUUGAGUACAUGUGAGGAAAUAAAGUCAUAAACUAACUUCACUACGUUGAACAAGAAGACAUGUACAGUAUGUGUAUUUAUGAUACCACAAAAGUGAAACUCGGGUAUUAUUUUUGUCACCUGGUGUUGUAAUUCAUUCAAACUACAACUAAAGCUUAAAAAAAAAAAAAAAAAAAAGGCGCUCAUGGGAGUCUGCUUUGAGUCACCGCUCUCUUCUAUGAAAGUAUGUCUUCCCUGAUCUGUCACGUGUAGCGUUCGCUGUGGUGGAGCACAUGUCAAAAAGCAAGUAGACCCAAAAGCAAACAAGUAGCCAAGACAAGAGGGCAAAGUGCAGUAUUCUCAAAAUGGAUUUAUUACCCCCCCCCCCCCCAAAAAAAAGAGCAAAUGAAGGUACUUGGUGGUCAGAAAAAGAAAAAAAGCCCCCCAAAAAACGAAGCAAAACCAACAACCACAGAAACCCACUACCACAGACACGGUGACAGGCCACUCAAAGCGACAAUGUGACAAUGAGCAGACAAAGAGUGAACAGAAACGGAACUUAACAGGCUACACAUAGACUGACAAGGCACACCCGGACAAGACACAAAUGGCUGGACACAGCUGAAUGAGCAUGACAAGGUUUAGCAGAAAUGACAAGACCAAGUGGUGACAAAGACAUAGGGCCCGAGUUUUGUGCCCAGACUAAAUCUACCGCAGUAACCGUGUGGAUGGAUGGAGUUUUCUUUUUUGGGGUAUUUUCCUAGACGGGUGCAAAGAGAAGCGGGCGUUUGCGCCCUAGCGGCUCAUUGUGGGAGAGAACGCAGUUGUCUUGUUUACCAUCCAAUGAAAGUGGUUCCCUUCAUUCCCUAUAAAUUCAGCACAGAAAUGGACGUGGUCUCCUUGGCUUACAGCUGCACGAGAUGGACGUUUGCAUAAUAAUUUUCAAAUGAACUGCACAAUCAUACCUUUAGGAUGAUGUAAAGUUGGCCCCUGUGGAGUCGCUUCCUAUUUCGAUCAUUGGUUCGUGUUUGAGCUCAGACCCUGCCUGGACUGCCUGCCUCUCGAUCAGUCCACCAAAAUCUCGUUACAACACCUGUGCCAUAACUUGGACUUGAUUUUAGCGGGUUUAAAUUUUAAUCUACUUUCUGACACAAUUGUUAGGUUUGCAAUUGCAGCACUAACUGAUGUUGCACAAACAGUUUAAUUCUUUACAUUGUAUUAAAUUGUGUUAUUACUCUUUGUUUUUCUUCAUGGGUUCUAUUCUCCUUUUUAAAAAUCCUUUUUGGAGGUUGGAAUGGUUUAAUGGCAUUUUUAUUCAUUUUAUAUUUUAUAUAUUUUGGAGCAAAAUAUGUUGAGAGGGAAGAAAUUUCAUCUGUGCUGUAUGUUACGCAUACAGUACAUUUGGCAAUAAAGUUUAUCCAAUCCAAAUCCAAUCCAGAAUGAUUUGAGAUGGCAUUUUAAGUACAAGCAGAAUUAUUUAAAUAUGUAGCUCAAGGCACCACUGCAAUCCGAAACCCGAUCAAAACCCCAAACCAAAAGAAAAUCAUAUACACAUAUUCAUCAGCUUAUUAGAAGAUUUAAAACGCUCGAUGCUCACAGAGUAUGGAUUCCCUUUCUUUCUAAGGCUAUUUCAUUUGCUUGUACAAAUCGCAUGAGCAUGUUUGCAUUUGAUUCCACUCCAACAGAGGAAAUAGUUACCAUGCUGCAGCGUUUGCUAAAGGCCCGCUCAAUUGGGGUCUUUCUGGAAAAUAAGUAAUGCCUGUAAAAUGUGUUGUGCAGUUAAAAAAAAAAGAUAUAAAAAAACCAUUUGUUAGGAGUCUUUUGUUUAGUAUAAGAUGACACGACACAGACUUGCUUGCUCAAAAGUACAGGUGUCUGUAAUGGAUUGCUUUGAAAAGAUGGUCAGUGAAAAUACUUAGUCUGUUUUACCCAAUUAUACUGUGGCUGUAUGUAAUCUGUCCAUGGUGGAGAAGUUUUCACCCUUUUUCCCUGACUUAGUUUUUGUUUUGUGACACGCUAAACCAGGGGUGCCCAUUAGGUAGAUCCUUAUCUACCGGUAGAUCUAAAACAGUUCCCAAGUAGAUCCGAGGAGUGUCGAGGAGAAAAAAAACAAAACAACCAUUUGUGUGUCUUUGUACAUGUUAGUAAUAUAUUUUUUUGUGUUAAUGUAUGCUGCACCCUAAUCAUCCUAUCAGUCUCAUUUUCACCCCAAAAAAAUUUAAAAAUAAAAUAAAGCCGGUAAAUCUUGAAAUUACGGUGGCGCGUGAUUACGUCACCGUAAGUUGUUAGCGCUCAGCAGUCUGCAAUUGCAGCUUGUGAUCAGAGCUGUUGCGCUCUAUCUUUUAUCGUCAUUAUUCUCAUUCAGAGUUUGCUUCGUGUACAAUUCACCAAGGGCACGGGCAAAGAAUAGGAAUCUAGGAGGGCCCAGGGAAGCACUUUAAAAUGGUACGUGUGAGCUACGAUAGUUAACAGGCUGCAAAAGUGCAUCGCAUGCCUCAGUUUCAGGCUGUUUCGCAUCGUGGCGUGUGUGUGUGCGCGCGCGUGCUGAUAAUGGUAGAUCUCGGGAGGUCAGUUGAUCGAAAAGUAGAUCUUCGGUCCAAAAAGUGUGGGCACCCCUGCUCUAAACCAUUUGCACAACCCCAGCGUGUGAGCUAUGAUAUUUUUCAACCAUGAAUAUCAAUGUGAUCAGACUUUCCCGCUUUUUUUCUUGAUGUUUGUUUAUGAUGGUUAUCCAUAAUUACAAUGAGCUUACCCUACUUCAAACAUUGUGUCAAGGUCCCACAAGGAGUUUGGGAAAUAAUAUAGUCGAGUUGAGUUUUGCCUGGUACCUCUGUGUAAAUUUACAGUCACCAUUUUGUGCAAACUUCUAUCCGUAUCCAUUUUCUAUUUCUUAUCCUAUAAUGGGUGUCAGGAAACUGGAACCUAUCCCAGAUAAGUGUUGGCAAAAUACCAGGCGAAACUCCUUUGCUCGCUUGUCGAUUGCUGGGCACAUCCACGAGGUAUCUACUUCUAAUUUUGAUUUGAUUUAGUGGCAGUACCGAGUGAGUUUAAUGUUUCUCACCAUUACAUGUGUUUCCUUCUCGGGUGGUUUGUUUAUUAGUGUCAGGAUGAUGGACAGUUGCCCUGCCAUCCCAAAGCGGUGUUUGGUUUUAAAGGCCCUGUCAGUAUGCCAGCCUCUUAUGCGGACAUCCCUUUGAAGUCCAUAUCUGGUGUACCGGGU